AUCGUACGGGAGGCAGCAGUGAGGAAUAUUGGUCAAUGGACGAGAGUCUGAACCAGCCAAGUAGCGUGCAGGACGACGGCCCUAUGGGUUGUAAACUGCUUUUAUAGGGGAAUAAAGUGAUCUACGUGUAGUUUAUUGUAUGUACCCUAUGAAUAAGGACCGGCUAAUUCCGUGCCAGCAGCCGCGGUAAUCGAU
rnacentral:rRNA from 1 species